rnacentral:snRNA from 1 species
GGACUUCGGCAGCACAUAUACUAAAAUUGGAAUGAUACAGAGAAGAUUAGCAUGGCCCCUGCACUAGGAUGACAUGCAAAUUCAUUAAGCAUUCUGUAUUUUU